rnacentral:lncRNA from 1 species
UGCAAAAUGGCAUCCCUUUGCAAAAGAGUACCUGAGCAGAGCGGGAGAGGGAGUUCAGCGUGGUAUCUGUUUUGCCUAGGACCUGCGCGGGCACAAGAAUUAGACUUGCACUUGGGGAAGAAACGGGCGAUGGCGGCACCUUCCUUCCCUUCCAGGCAGCUCCGGAUCACGGACUCCGUAGUGUUUCGACUGCAGGGACUUUUGCACGGGCCAGGAGCCUGGCCAGCUGUCACGAAAGGCGUGUGGCUCUCGUUGGAAGAGAGGAUGUGCACAAGUCCGACGGGAACAGUUCCCGAGCAGUGUCAGGAAAUUAUCAGCUGGUGCCAGACCUUCCUCACAUUCCAACUACGCGAUUCUUUGCAGAACGCUCCAACAGUCAGCUGGUUAUUUCACACUAAACCACAUUGUUGAUGUCCAGGAGUCAGUCUAGCCACAACUCCACAAGGAGAGGCAGCAAUCGGUGUCACUGCCAUGUGUGGAUCACACAAGACACUGUCCCCUUUCCCGGUGCCUGAGAUGAAGACAGCAGUGACGGAGGGAGACCGGCUGGAUGGGUUAUGAUGGUAGCAGCAAUGGUCACUUGUCUCCAAAGCAGUGUUGUGAGCGUCUGUUACAGCUGGGAACAUGGUACAGUAAACCAUGCAUCCCUGACCCAAAUAUCUGUGCCCUGGAGCAGGAAGGAGAUGAGGCAAGCAGGUGAAAAUGGCCACAAAGUCGUCUUUCAGUACCUGUGAGGACUGGGUCACAUCCCCCGGCUGCUCGGAGACAAAACAGCUUCAGAGACUCAAGUGUCAGUCAACUGCCGCAGACUUUAAGUCACUGACAAUGCAGACAUGAUCACUGCAUCGGGUUUGCUUUGCUGGGCUUUGCAGGUAUUGUAAAGGUUUGUGGCAAUCCCGCACAGAGCAAGUCUCUCAGCACCACUCUUCCAACAGCCUGUGCUCGCCUCGUGUCUCCCUGUCACAUUUGGUAAUUGCCACGCAUCCCAAGAUCUUUCAUGAUUAUCAGAUCUGUGAUCAGUGAUCUCCGAUGUGCGUGUUCUGGUGGCUUCUGGGAGCCAUGAACGCCACCGCUACCCCCUUGCACGGUCCCCAGCACAGAGCCCCAUGGAGCUGACGGACAAAGGUGUGUGAUCUGCCUGCUCCAGCAAUGGGUGCGUCCCCCAGCUCUGUCCCUCUCCUGAGACACCUCGCUAUUAAACUGCCCAGUUAAGAACCCCGCCAUGGCCCCUAAGUGUUCAAAUGAGAGGACCAGUUGCACGUCCCUCACUUUACGUCAAAAGCCGGACCUGAUCAAGCUCGGUGAGGAAGGAUGUCAUGAUUUGAGGCGGGAGCAAGGCCUCUUGUGCCACAGUCAGCCAAGUUGUGAAUGUGAGGAAAUGUUCUGGAAGGAGCUGAAAGGUGAGCGGUGA